GUAGGUGAACCUGCGGAAGGAUCAUUAUCUAUCCCAUCGGUGUGGCUGCGGCCCCCGGGGCAUCCCCCCGGGCGGUAGAGGUAAAACUCUCACGCUCCACAUACCCGAAUCCUUUUUUUACGAGCACCUUUCGUUCUCCUUCGGUGGGGCAACCUGCCGUUGGAACAUUAAAACUCUUUUUGCAUCUAGCAUUACCUGUUCUGAUAUAUACAAUCGUUACAACUUUCAACAAUGGAUCUCUUGGCUCUG
rnacentral:misc_RNA from 1 species